rnacentral:rRNA from 1 species
GAUCAUGGCUACAGAACGAACGCUGGCGGCAGGCUUAACACAUGCAAGUCGAACGGGUGUAGCAAUACAUCAGUGGCAGACGGGUGAGUAACACGUGGGAACCUUCCUAGAGGUACGGAACAACUCAGGGAAACUUGAGCUAAUACCGUAUACGCUCUUGCGAGGAAAGAUUUAUCGCCUUUAGACGGGCCCGCGUCGGAUUAGCUAGCUGGUGGGGUAACGGCCUACCAAGGCGACGAUCCGUAGCUGAUCUGAGAGGAUGAUCAGCCACACUGGGACUGAGACACGGCCCAGACUCCUACGGGAGGCAGCAGUGGGGAAUCUUGGACAAUGGGCGCAAGCCUGAUCCAGCCAUGCCGCGUGAGUGAAGAAGACCUUCGGGUUGUAAAGCUCUUUUGCCAGGGACGAUAAUGACGGUACCUGGAGAAUAAGCCCCGGCAAACUUCGUG